rnacentral:rRNA from 1 species
GGUUAAGCGACUAAGCGUACACGGUGGAUGCCCUGGCAGUCAGAGGCGAUGAAGGACGUGCUAAUCUGCGAUAAGCGCCGGUAAGGUGAUAUGAACCGUUAUAACCGGCGAUUUCCGAAUGGGGAAACCCAGUGUGACUCGUCACACUAUCAUUAACUGAAUCCAUAGGUUAAUGAGGCGAACCGGGGGAACUGAAACAUCUAAGUACCCCGAGGAAAAGAAAUCAACCGAGAUUCCCCCAGUAGCGGCGAGCGAACGGGGAGGAGCCCAGAGCCUGAAUCAGCAUGUGUGUUAGUGGAAGCGUCUGGAAAGGCGCGCGAUACAGGGUGACAGCCCCGUACACAAAAGCGCAUGUGCUGUGAGCUCGAUGAGUAGGGCGGGACACGUGGUAUCCUGUCUGAAUAUGGGGGGACCAUCCUCCAAGGCUAAAUACUCCUGACUGACCGAUAGUGAACCAGUACCGUGAGGGAAAGGCGAAAAGAACCCCGGCGAGGGGAGUGAAAAAGAACCUGAAACCGUGUACGUACAAACAGUGGGAGCACCCUUCGGGGUGUGACUGCGUACCUUUUGUAUAAUGGGUCAGCGACUUAUAUUCUGUAGCAAGGUUAACCGAAUAGGGGAGCCGGAGGGAAACCGAGUCUUAAUUGGGCGUUAAGUUGCAGGGUAUAGACCCGAAACCCGGUGAUCUAGCCAUGGGCAGGUUGAAGGUUGGGUAACACUAACUGGAGGACCGAACCGACUAAUGUUGAAAAAUUAGCGGAUGACCUGUGGCUGGGGGUGAAAGGCCAAUCAAACCGGGAGAUAGCUGGUUCUCCCCGAAAGCUAUUUAGGUAGCGCCUCGUGAAUUCAUCUCCGGGGGUAGAGCACUGUUUCGGCUAGGGGGCCAUCCCGGCUUACCAACCCGAUGCAAACUGCGAAUACCGGAGAAUGUUAUCACGGGAGACACACGGCGGGUGCUAACGUCCGUCGUGAAGAGGGAAACAACCCAGACCGCCAGCUAAGGUCCCAAAGUCAUGGUUAAGUGGGAAACGAUGUGGGAAGGCCCAGACAGCCAGGAUGUUGGCUUAGAAGCAGCCAUCAUUUAAAGAAAGCGUAAUAGCUCACUGGUCGAGUCGGCCUGCGCGGAAGAUGUAACGGGGCUAAACCAUGCACCGAAGCUGCGGCAGCGACACUGUGUGUUGUUGGGUAGGGGAGCGUUCUGUAAGCCUGCGAAGGUGGCCUGUGAGGGUUGCUGGAGGUAUCAGAAGUGCGAAUGCUGACAUAAGUAACGAUAAAGCGGGUGAAAAGCCCGCUCGCCGGAAGACCAAGGGUUCCUGUCCAACGUUAAUCGGGGCAGGGUGAGUCGACCCCUAAGGCGAGGCCGAAAGGCGUAGUCGAUGGGAAACGGGUUAAUAUUCCCGUACUUGGUGUUACUGCGAAGGGGGGACGGAGAAGGCUAUGUUGGCCGGGCGACGGUUGUCCCGGUUUAAGCGUGUAGGUGUGUGUUCCAGGUAAAUCCGGUUCACUUUAACACUGAGGCGUGACGACGAGGCACUACGGUGCUGAAGCAACAAAUGCCCUGCUUCCAGGAAAAGCCUCUAAGCAUCAGGUAACAUCAAAUCGUACCCCAAACCGACACAGGUGGUCAGGUAGAGAAUACCAAGGCGCUUGAGAGAACUCGGGUGAAGGAACUAGGCAAAAUGGUGCCGUAACUUCGGGAGAAGGCACGCUGACAUGUAGGUGAAGUGAUUUACUCAUGGAGCUGAAGUCAGUCGAAGAUACCAGCUGGCUGCAACUGUUUAUUAAAAACACAGCACUGUGCAAACACGAAAGUGGACGUAUACGGUGUGACGCCUGCCCGGUGCCGGAAGGUUAAUUGAUGGGGUCAGCGCAAGCGAAGCUCCUGAUCGAAGCCCCGGUAAACGGCGGCCGUAACUAUAACGGUCCUAAGGUAGCGAAAUUCCUUGUCGGGUAAGUUCCGACCUGCACGAAUGGCGUAAUGAUGGCCAGGCUGUCUCCACCCGAGACUCAGUGAAAUUGAACUCGCUGUGAAGAUGCAGUGUACCCGCGGCAAGACGGAAAGACCCCGUGAACCUUUACUAUAGCUUGACACUGAACAUUGAGCCUUGAUGUGUAGGAUAGGUGGGAGGCUUUGAAGUGUGGACGCCAGUCUGCAUGGAGCCGACCUUGAAAUACCACCCUUUAAUGUUUGAUGUUCUAACGUGGACCCGUAAUCCGGGUUGCGGACAGUGUCUGGUGGGUAGUUUGACUGGGGCGGUCUCCUCCUAAAGAGUAACGGAGGAGCACGAAGGUUGGCUAAUCCUGGUCGGACAUCAGGAGGUUAGUGCAAUGGCAUAAGCCAGCUUGACUGCGAGCGUGACGGCGCGAGCAGGUGCGAAAGCAGGUCAUAGUGAUCCGGUGGUUCUGAAUGGAAGGGCCAUCGCUCAACGGAUAAAAGGUACUCCGGGGAUAACAGGCUGAUACCGCCCAAGAGUUCAUAUCGACGGCGGUGUUUGGCACCUCGAUGUCGGCUCAUCACAUCCUGGGGCUGAAGUAGGUCCCAAGGGUAUGGCUGUUCGCCAUUUAAAGUGGUACGCGAGCUGGGUUUAGAACGUCGUGAGACAGUUCGGUCCCUAUCUGCCGUGGGCGCUGGAGAACUGAGGGGGGCUGCUCCUAGUACGAGAGGACCGGAGUGGACGCAUCACUGGUGUUCGGGUUGUCAUGCCAAUGGCACUGCCCGGUAGCUAAAUGCGGAAGAGAUAAGUGCUGAAAGCAUCUAAGCACGAAACUUGCCCCGAGAUGAGUUCUCCCUGAGACUUAGAGUCUCCUGAAGGAACGUUGAAGACGACGACGUUGAUAGGCCGGGUGUGUAAGCGCAGCGAUGCGUUGAGCUAACCGGUACUAAUGAACCGUGAGGCUUAACCUU